rnacentral:rRNA from 1 species
GGUACUAGGUGUGGGUUUCCUUCCUUGGGAUCCGUGCCGUAGCUAACGCAUUAAGUACCCCGCCUGGGGAGUACGGCCGCAAUGCUAAAACUCAAAGAAAUUGACGGGGGCCCGCACAAGCAGCGGAGCAUGUGGCUUAAUUCGAUGCAACGCGAAAAACCUUACCUAGAUUUGACAUGCUGGGAAAAGCCACAGAGAUGUGGUGUCCUUCGGGGCUCAGCACAGGUGGUGCAUGGCUGUCGUCAGCUCGUGUCGUGAGAUGUUGGGUUAAGUCCCGCAACGAGCGCAACCCUUGUUCUAUGUUGCCAGCACGUAAUGGUGGGGACUCGUAGAAGACUGCCGGGGUCAACUCGGAGGAAGGUGGGGACGACGUCAAGUCAUCAUGCCCCUUACGUCUAGGGCUGCACACAUGCUACAAUGGGCGGUACAGAGGGCUGCUAAACCGCGAGGUGGAGCCAAUCCCUAAAACCGCUCUCAGUUCAGAUUGCAGGCUGCAACUCGCCUGCAUGAAGUUGGAGUUGCUAGUAAUCCCGGAUCAGCAUUGCCGGGGUGAAUACGUUCCCGGGCCUUGUACACACCGCCCGUCAAACCACGAAAGUUGGCAACACCCGAAGCCGGUGGCCUAACCGCAAGGAAGGAGCCGUCGAAGGUGGGGUCAGUGAUUGGGGUUAAGUCGUAACAAGGUAGCCGUACCGGAAGGUGCGGCUG